rnacentral:rRNA from 1 species
UAGGGAAUCUUCCGCAAUGGACGAAAGUCUGACGGAGCAACGCCGCGUGAGUGAAGAAGGUCUUCGGAUCGUAAAACUCUGUUGUUAGGGAAGAACAAGUAUCGUUCGAAUAGGGCGGUACCUUGACGGUACCUAACCAGAAAGCCACGGCUAACUCCGUGCCAGCAGCCGCGGUAAUACGGAGGGUGCGAGCGUUAAUCGGAAUUACUGGGCGUAAAGCGCGCGUAGGCUGUUGUGUAAGUCAGGGGUGAAAUCCCACGGCUCAACCGUGGAACUGCCCUUGAUACUGCAUGACUGGAAUCCGGGAGAGGGUGGCGGAAUUCCAGGUGUAGGAGUGAAAUCCGUAGAUAUCUGGAGGAACACCAGUGGCGAAGGCGGCCACCUGGCACAUAACUGACGCUGAGGUGCGAAAGCGUGGGGUAGCAAACAGGAUUAGAUACC